GGAGCAAACAGGAUUAUAUCCCCUGGUAGUCCACGCUGUAAACGAAGAGUACUAGGUGUCGGGGGUUACCCCCCUCGGUGCCGCAGCUAACGCAUUAAGUACUCCGCCUGGGAAGUACGCUCGCAAGCGUGCAACUCAAAGGACUUGACGGGGACCCGCACAAGUUGCGGAGCAUGUGGUUUAAUUGGAAGCAACGCGAAG
rnacentral:rRNA from 1 species